rnacentral:piRNA from 1 species
UGGGACUGAAGAGCUAGCUAGAGGAU